AUGCCCAUGAUCUCUUCCUGCCUCUUCCGAUCUGCUCACCCUUUGCUGUCAUCAACAAUAACCCUGAUGGUAAAUAUAAUAAUAAUAAUAAUAAUAAUAAUAAUAAUAAUAAUAAUAAUAAUAAUAAAUAAUAAUAACAUGAUUGUCUGUUUCUGUCCAUGCAGUCAGAGUUUCGGCAUGUCCAGAGGGUGGCUGUGGGGUGCCCCCUCCAGCAGGACAGGGUUUUUCUGGAGCCUGGAGGUGCUGCUGCUCUCCACGGGAGACGAGAGGAGCAGCAGGACAGCCCAGCCACUCGAUGCUCUGCAGCCACCACCAGCUGAUUUAAACAACCCAAGGGAGCAAAAAUGAGCACAGACCAGGCAAUGGAAACAUCCUGGGUUACCAAGGGUACACCAGCUCUCCUGCCUGCCUUGGGGUGUCUGUCCAUCACUAGGCUGCGUUGCCUCCCACAGAUCAGCUUGGUUUUGAGCGGCCUAGUCCUAGAAUAACACACAGGGCAAAUUUUUCUUCCUAAAGGCCAUAGUCCAUCUAAACAUCCCCUCACUCCCUGCCUCCUACUCUAUCCACCUGGCUUUCAAACCAGGGCCUGCUCUCUUCUCUGCCUCCCCAUCUCAUCAACCACCCAAAGCAAACCACACCUCUGCCCAGACUCCUCAUCCUGCCCUGUGCCACCGGGGUCCUUCACACCGUAGUGCAGAGAGCUGAAUUUGUCCCUGGUCAUUCUGCAGCUGUGUCACCUCGGCCAGGACACCCAGUGUCUCCACAGCCUCAACCAUCCCCUCGUCUCACUGUCUCUCAAUUUCUCUGCAUCCAUAUCACCUGUGUUGCUCCGCCAUCAAGUGAACUCCAAGCCCGAUCAGGAAGAAACACAAGGCCUUGGCCAUGGCACACCCUUGGUUUCUUUUUCUCCUGCGCAUGAGGCAAGCAAGGCCACAUCUAGAGCAGGUGUAUAUUGCAAAAUUAACAGCAGUGAGGAGCUCCUGAGUUAGUCUGAGUGCUCUCCCCAAAGUGUCUGUCUUGUAGCCAAGCUUUGUCCUGCCUAGGCAAUCCUCCAGACUUUAUUAAAGCCUCGAAAUGUCAAAACAAGGCUUCUUCCUCAUUCCCUUUGGAAGUAGCUCCACAGACCCUCACAGCAAAUGCAGACGCUGGCCUCAAGCCAGCUAGCGCUAGCAGCACUGGCGUAAAACAUCAGCCCCCGGGGCAUUUACCCAGGGCAGCAGCACAGAGCCAUCCAUAUUGCUGUCUCGAGCAGCAGCACCUGAGCACCACGGCUCAAAGCAAGGCAAGGGGCGCUCACCACAGCAAACAUCACUUGUGUAGGGCACAUGCCGGCCCAGCUGCUCGGGAU
rnacentral:lncRNA from 1 species